GAUAUGAAAUAGAGGAGAGAGAGAGGAAUAGGGAAGUGUGCGUGCGGAUCGGUAGCUUCGGCGGCGUACGGUGAGGCGUUUAGUGGCGGCGUUCGGACUCCCGGAGUACGGCGGCGGCGAACGGGGAAAGAGACAUCUAGUGGCUGCGUUGGGACCCGGGGCCCCAGUAAGGGAGGAGGGGUGCUACGACCUCCUCCGGGCUCCUCCGCCGGUACUCCUCGCGCGUUGGCGGUUUCGGUACCCGUCUAGGUCGGUCGUAGCAGCCGUCGGUAGGGAGGGAGGCCGCCGGUACUUCUUAACUUAUCCGAACUCGUCUUGUUCGCGUACCUGCCACGCGUGGAGGGCGCUAUCCUCCAGGAGCAGUAGACGAGCGUAGGUGCUCCUUAGCCAGGUAUAGAUUUAUCCAGACGGCUCACAGUUGAAGCCGUUUCCGAACGGGGAAACGGAUCACAACGUGAGUCGUUUGAUGCAGGUAGUCUAACCCAUCAUCUAUAAUACUUCUCGUUGUGCCUGUAGAAGAAAUGACUGCCUUACAAACGCCCCUCGAGCCAAUCACAGCUACGGGGUUCCCGAAUACGUAUCGUUAAGGUACGACGAAUUUCGGUGUCAUUAGUACCGAUGGCCAAAGGUCCAUAUACAAAUACGUCAGUAUAGCUGCACGAGCAACUGUUAAGCAUAUCUUACAAAUAUAAGAAAUAUUGAAACGGUUCCUUACAGAUGACAAUCUGUAGAACGCCCAUGAAACCAAUUCAUGAUCUUUCGAGUAUGUGUCUGUGUACGGGUUGUGUUGUUGUUCGU
rnacentral:rRNA from 1 species